rnacentral:rRNA from 1 species
AACACGUUCCCGGGCCUUGUACACACCGCCCGUCAAGUCACGAAAGUUGGUAACACCCGAAGCCCAUGGCCCAACCGGUUUUCCGGGGGGAGUGGUCGAAGGUGGGACUGGCGAUUGGGACU